rnacentral:rRNA from 1 species
GAUCAUGGCUCAGGAUGAACGCUGGCGGCGUGCUUAACACAUGCAAGUCGAACGGAAAGGCCCAAGCUUGCUUGGGUACUCGAGUGGCGAACGGGUGAGUAACACGUGGGUGAUCUGCCCUGCACUUUGGGAUAAGCCUGGGAAACUGGGUCUAAUACCAGAUAGGACCCUUACUUGGAUGUUUGGGUGGAAAGUUUUUUCGGUGUGGGAUGAGCUCGCGGCCUAUCAGCUUGUUGGUGGGGUAAUGG